rnacentral:rRNA from 1 species
GACGAACGCUGGCGGAGGGAGGAACAAAGGCAAGUCGAACGGAAAGGCCCUGCUUUUGUGGGGUGCUCGAGUGGCGAACGGGUGAGUAACACGUGAGUAACCUGCCCUUGACUUUGGGAUAACUUCAGGAAACUGGGGCUAAUACCGGAUAGGAGCUCCUGCUGCAUGGUGGGGGUUGGAAAGUUUCGGCGGUUGGGGAUGGACUCGCGGCUUAUCAGCUUGUUGGUGGGGUAGUGGCUUACCAAGGCUUUGACGGGUAGCCGGCCUGAGAGGGUGACCGGCCACAUUGGGACUGAGAUACGGCCCAGACUCCUACGGGAGGCAGCAGUGGGGAAUAUUGCACAAUGGGCGGAAGCCUGAUGCAGCAACGCCGCGUGCGGGAUGACGGCCUUCGGGUUGUAAACCGCUUUCGCCUGUGACGAAGCGUGAGUGACGGUAAUGGGUAAAGAAGCACCGGCUCCCUACGUG